CUCCAGACUCCUACGGGAGGCAGCAGUGGGGAAUAUUGCACAAUGGGGGAAACCCUGAUGCAGCGACGCCGCGUGAGUGAAGAAGCGCCUCGGCGCGUAAAGCUCUGUCAGCAGGAACGAUAAUGACGGUACCUGAAGAAGAAGCCCCGGCUAACUACGUGCCAGCAGCCGCGGUAAUACGUAGGGGGCAAGCGUUAUCCGGAUUUAUUGGGUUUAAAGGGUGCGCAGGCGGCCUGUUAAGUCAGCGGUAAAGGCCGGGGGCUCACCCCCGGCGAGCCGUUGAAACUGGCGGGCUGGAGUUGGAGAGAAGUACGCGGAAUGCGCGGUGUAGCGGUGAAAUGCUUAGAUAUCACGCAGAACUCCGAUUGCGAAGGCAGCGUACCGGCGCCCAACUGACGCUCAUGCACGAAAGCGUGGGUAUCGAACAGGAUUAGAUACCCUAGUA
rnacentral:rRNA from 1 species